rnacentral:misc_RNA from 1 species
AAGUCGUAACAAGGUCUCCGUUGGUGAACCAGCGGAGGGAUCAUUACAGAGUUGCAAAACUCCUAACCAUUGUGAACGAACCCGUUAUAGUUGCUUCGGCGGGUAGUGCGCUGCAACUGCCCGCCGAUAGCAUGCAAUCUCUAGAUUACAGUGGAUCUCUGAGUUACUUAUUUAAUAAGUUAAAACUUUCAACAACGGAUCUCUUGGUUCUG